GCUCUUGUGGCGCAAUUGGCUAGCGCGUUUGACUGUUAAUCGAGAGGUUGGUGGUUCGAGCCCACCCAGGAGCG